rnacentral:rRNA from 1 species
GUGGGGAAUAUUGGACAAUGGGCGAAAGCCUGAUCCAGCCAUGCCGCGUGUGUGAAGAAGGUCUUCGGAUUGUAAAGCACUUUAAGUUGGGAGGAAGGGCAGUAAGUUAAUACUUUGCUGUUUUGACGUUACCGACAGAAUAAGCACCGGCUAACUUCGUGCCAGCAGCCGCGGUAAUACGAAGGGUGCAAGCGUUAAUCGGAAUUACUGGGCGUAAAGCGCGCGUAGGUGGUUUUGUAAGUUGGAGGUGAAAUCCCCGGGCUCAACCUGGGAACUGCCUCCAAAACUGCAUGACUAGAGUACGGUAGAGGGUAGUGGAAUUUCCUGUGUAGCGGUGAAAUGCGUAGAUAUAGGAAGGAACACCAGUGGCGAAGGCGACUACCUGGACUGAUACUGACACUGAGGUGCGAAAGCGUGGGGAGCAAACAGGAUUAGAAACCCGGGUAGUCC